GCCCUUUGUGUUACCCAUUCAUUAUUUUCUCCAGCGAAUGUGAUGUCAGAAAAGGCAUAUAAUAACUCUAGCUGACCUGUAUUCGAGAGCUAGUGAUUAGGCCUUUCUUGGUCCUUCAGCUAGAACAUGC